rnacentral:rRNA from 1 species
AUUCCAGCUCCAAUAGCGUAUAUUAAAGUUGUUGCAGUUAAAAAGCUCGUAGUCGGAACUCGGGCUGGGGGUCUGCGCCCAGCAAUGCUGCGUGUGCAGGGCCCCGGUCUUCCUUCUGGCUUUGCGCGGUGGUCCUUUAUUGGGCUGCUGCGUGGAGGUCAGGACAUUUACUGUGAAAAAAUUAGAGUGUUUAAAGCAGGCGUUUGCUGUGAAUACAUUAGCAUGGAAUAAUAGAAUAGGACUUGGGUUCUAUUUUGUUGGUUUUUAGGACCGAAGUAAUGAUUAAUAGGGACAGUUGGGGGCAUUCGUAUUUCAUUGUCAGAGGUGAAAUUCUUGGAUUUAUGAAAGACGAACCGCUGCGAAAGCGUCUGCCAAGGAUGUUUUCAUCA